AACAACUGAACGGAUACAAAGGUGGGCAAGAAUCUCUCUCACUGAACAAUUAGGAAUUAUUUCUACAUAAUAUUGUGUGUCAAAUGAGCUAUAAUAAUUAAUUGCACAAGGAAAGGAAGCUCAAGAACCACAGUUUCCAGUUCUGGUUUGUUUUUCUAAACUGGUGAAUCGACUCCAUGCUACUCUAUAGUUCAAUCCAUAUGUUACAGUAGCAGCACCUAACAAGAGCACAAAUGAAUCAGGUGGAUGAAAAAAAUAUUAAGGAUCCAGCACUGUCAAGAAGAUGUCUGACUAAGCUAUAUCUAUAUAAACAUUACUUUUUGUUUCUAUAUUAUAUCUGUUUACUUCUCAUCUUUGGCAUGUAGUAGACACCAAUUGCUUAAGAUGAAUUAUUAUUUUUCAGCAAUAGAAUCUUUUGGGAUUACCAUUUUGCUGCUGCUGUUGUCAAGUUGAAUUUUAUCUUCAUUAGGAUGAGAAGCAGGCCCUUUGAUUAAUAAAUAUAUCUACGGGGAAUUUAAAUAUGUUUUGCAACAGCACAAUAGAUUUUGCCAACCUAACUCAUGUAGCCCAAAUAUUCAUUGUGUGUUUAACUAUGUUAAAGCGAUCACUAUCUACCAACAAUUAUUUUCUUAUUACUUCCAUCACAUUUCUAUAUUACUAUAUUGCUUGCUGCAAUACUUAAACACACAUAUCAUUGACAGCAAAUUAUUGCGGCUCCUAUUACACUGCAAUAUUCAACUCCAUUAUUGAAUACAAGGAUACCUGCUAUAUAUUUUUAAAGUAUCAAUAUUUUCACUAGUUUGCCUGCAUCUAACAGUUAUCAUUUUUACAGACACUCACAUUUUAUAAUACCAUGUUUUGCAGCUAUCAAUCUUUAGGCACAUUUAAGUAUAAAAUUAUAAUGCUGGUUUUAAUUCUGUUUUUGAAAUAUUUAUGCAGAAUAGCAACUAGAUUAGACAGCAUCUGAUUCCCAACUAUUUUGGCAAUUUAAAAAGAGCUGAUGAAGUCUAUGAUUUUGUUUCUAUUGUGCUAUUUCAGAAUAUACAAAGAAAUGAAUUUCUCUCAGUCUUGGUUUCAGUCUUGUACACAGGCUGCUGGGAUGCCACUGAGUUCAGCGUGACUUACGCUGCCUAACAACGUGCAAGUAUAUCACCUUCUCCAGCAAAAUAUCCUUGAAUCUUCAUUUCAGUGGAUAAUUGAGAGACCUCAUGGGUUGACUGCCACAGAAAUAUUAUCAAACAGGAUCAAUCAUACCAUCAUUGUCACAAGAAAGUCAAAAUGCCUCUGGG